AUUGAACGCUGGCGGCAGGCCUAACACAUGCAAGUCGAACGAGUGGCGGACGGGUGAGUAAUGUCUGGGAAACUGCACGAUGGAGGGGGAUAACUACUGGAAACGGUAGCUAAUACCGCAUACCAUCGGAUGUGCCCAGAUGGGAUUAGCUAGUAGGUGGGGUAAAGGCUCACAUAGGCAACGAUCCCUAGCUGGUCUGAGAGGAUGACCAGCCACCCUGGAACUGAGACACGGUCCAGACUACUACGGGAGGCAGCAGUGGGGAAUAUUGCACAAUGCGCGCAAGCGUGAUGCAGACAAGCUGCGUGUAUGAAGAAGGCCUUCGGGUUGUAAAGUACUUUCAGCGGGGAGGCGUUACCCGCCAAAGAAGCAACGGCUAAAUCCGUGCCAGCAGGCGCGGUAAUAC
rnacentral:rRNA from 1 species